rnacentral:misc_RNA from 1 species
UCCGUGUUGGCCAAUCAAGAGGAGGUUGAGAUGGCGGGCGCUCUCUUAAACAUGAUGCAACACUUCCAUUUGCCAUGUAGGGAUAAACAAGCAGUCGUUCCGUUGGCGUCAUGCAAAACCCGCGUAAUCUAAGGAGAUUCCGAUGCACAGCCAUGCUUAUCAUCUCUACUUCUGUUUGAAACUGCAACUCGCCUCCAGGUGUACGCUCUUCUUUCAGUCUCUUGACAGCUACCAAUGAGCCAUCUGCUAAACGUCCUUUGUAAACCUUACCAAAUCCUCCUCU